UACUUUCAAUGGGCAACAGUCGUCCCGUUAGCCUUAGGAGCUAAUUUUCCU
rnacentral:tRNA from 1 species